rnacentral:rRNA from 1 species
UGCUCAGGUGGGUUUGCAAGUCAGAGGUUAAAUCCCAAAGCUUAACUUUGGAGCUGCCUUUGAUACUGCAAGUCUGGAGUUUGAGAGAGGGCAAUGGAAUAUCUGGUGUAGCAGUGAAAUGCGUAGAUAUCAGAUAGAACACCAAUGGCGAAGGCAGUUGCCUGGCUCAAAACUGACGCUAAAGCACGAAAGUGUGGGGAGCAAACA